GGUGGUGUAAAAGCUGAUUUCGGGCUUGAUAAAUAGGAAGCUGUCUUCUUUGGUCAUCAAUCGUCGUUGUUUUUGGUUUCCCGGGCAGCAACAUACCAGCUUUCUGCUUGUCGAGGCGGAAUAAAACAGACGCCGGCUUAAAUUUUUUAGCCGGAGGAUGAUCGGGUUCAUUGGGCAUGAUCGAGAAGAGAAGCUUUCCUCAGAGUCCUGACUUUCUUAAAUAUUACCCUGGAUAUGGCAAAAUAUGAUAGGUCUUUGACGUCAUUCACCAUUCCGGCCUGUCAUGUACAUUAGACGCCACAUCGGGUGAGGUGACACAGGAAAUACAGCCGCCAUCUUGAGCCGGUCUUCUACUCCUCUGAGCAGCAGAAAGAAGAAGGAAGAACACGACCCCACCACAGCAUUGUGCUGAAUAUUCUCGCACAAAUUGGCGGAGCGUGGAAAACAGUGAGAUUGUUGCCAGCAAGCUAUAUGGAAAGCUAUCCAUCCAUCCAUCCAUCCAUUUUCUACCGCUUGUCUCUUUUGGGGUUGCGGGGGUGCUGCAGUCUAUCCCAGCUACACUUGGACGGAAGACGUGGUACACCCUGGACAAGUCCCCACCUCAAUGCAGGGGCAAUUGCUAAUAUGUGAUUAAUGCCAGUGUUCCGGAUAUGAAUCAAUUCUUUAUUAGUCAUAUUCCAUAACAGUGACUUAGAAUAUAACUGACACAAUAAUUCUAUUGUAGUUAUAAAACAAAUAUUAUUGGUAUAACAUUGACCAGCAAUUUCUUUUGCACAUAAUGUACAUGUAAUUUAACAACAGUAAGCUGGCUGUCAUGUCUUAAUAUAUAUCUACUUGAAAAUAUAAAUAACUGGACAUCUGACUGUACAAUAGUUUGUCAUCAAAUUAAUUUGGCUGUUGUUGUAUUCACUAUUUUAGUAGCUUUGCUUCAUUAUGAAAAUAUGCAUCAAAAUAUAAGUUGUUUUUUUAAAAUACAUUUUUAACAUACUUUUAUCAAGUCCCAAGUGUCAUUACAACAUGUAUGCUGAAAUUAUGCUUUUUUCAAUGUUUUUCACUGUUCUCUUUUGUUGUCUUUUUUUUUUUGCAGUGUAUUGCGAUUGAUUGAUUGAUUGAUUGAUUGAUUGAUAUUGCGUGUCUGAGAUGCUUCUAUAUGCUAUGUAUUUCACAACAUUGAUGUUUUGCAUGUAUCAGAAGGAUUGCAAAUCCAGCCAUUCAUCCAUUUUAUACCGCUUGUACCAAUAUGUUCAUAUAAUCUCUUUUAAAUGAUUUUCAAUAUUUUGUUCUUGUUGAAUUGAUCUAGUAUUUAAUGUGUUCAGAUCAGGGGAUUUCAUUUGAUAGUUUGUGGCACUUGUGAUUAAGGGCCAUCAAGUACAUGAUGGUACUGUAUGUAUUGAAUGUAAUGUGAGUCAUGUAAAAGAAAAUUUACUGCUCUAAAGUGUGUCAAGCUAAACAUUGGCU